AAUGAACGCUAGCGACAGGCUUAACACAUGCAAGUCUAACUGGUUUAGCAAUAAAUCGGUGGCAAACGGGUGAGUAAUAUACAAAAAUCUACCUGACAAUAAGGAAUAUGUACUGGAAACGGUAAGCAAUACCUUAUAUACCCUGAGGGGGAAAGAUUUAUCGUUGUCAGAUGAGUUUGUACGGGAUUAGCUAGUUGGUGAGGUAAAUGCUCACCAAGGCAACGAUCUCUAGCCGACCUGAGAGGGUGAUCGGCCACAUUGGGACUGAGAUACGGCCCAG
rnacentral:rRNA from 1 species